rnacentral:pre_miRNA from 1 species
ACACUACUCCCUCCGUUCGGAAUUACUUGUCACCAAAAUGGAUAAAAAUGGAUGUAUGUACAACUAAAAUACAUCUAGAUACAUUUAUUUCUUGGACGAGUAAUUCUGAAUGGAGGGAGUACUUU